rfam:Candidatus Thrbacteria bacterium RIFCSPHIGHO2_02_FTLL_57_19 rifcsphigho2_02_scaffold_40409, whole genome shotgun sequence.
GCCUGGGUGGCGGAAUGGUAUACGCGCGACACUUAAAAUGUUGUGCUCGCAAGAGCGUGUGGGUUCGAAUCCCACCCCAGGCA